CAGAGGGUGCAAGCGUUAAUCGGAAUUACUGGGCGUAAAGCGCGCGUAGGUGGUUUGUUAAGUUGGAUGUGAAAUCCCCGGGCUCAACCUGGGAACUGCAUUUCAAAACUGACUGACUAGAGUAUGGUAGAGGGUGGUGGAAUUUCCUGUGUAGCGGUGAAAUGCGUAGACUAUAGGAAGGAACACCAGUGGCGAAGGCGACCACCUGGACUAAUACUGAACACUGAGGUGCGAAAGCGUGGGGAGCAAACAGGAUU
rnacentral:rRNA from 1 species